AAGCCUCCCCUCACUGCUGAAACAGUGUUAAUUAGGGGGGUCUGGAUUAUAUCCUUGUCGUCAGGACCUUGGAAGAUAACACCUACUGUCACUGCUGGGGCAGUGCUAAUUGCUGAAACAACGCCUGUUGGUCAGGGCCCUGAGAAAGAAGGGCAGAACCCGAGGAAUCAAAACACAUUUGUCAGCAGAAACCGCAACAGUAAAGAUAAGGGAGAAAAGCAGCCUGCCUGGGAACAAUGAUGAGACCCAAUAGGGAGCAGGAGACCCCAGACCCAAAAAUUACUAUUGGUCUGAACUACCGCGUGAGGGGUGGGAAACUUAAUUUGAAAAAGCUAUAAUUGCCCAGGGAUUUCUUUGUUCGGGGUCCCUCUUCGGAGGCACCGAACUCGAGCUGUAACUACUGCACGCGUGUCAUUAUUUAAUUUGCCUUGAUUUGACUCCAAACUUUUCAGCGGGAACCUAGGGUCGGACCCUGCUCGAGUUGUAAUUACUGCACGCGCAUCGCUAAAAUUUACACCCAGGGUGAAGAGGACCAACGGGACGCCGCUGGAUCCAUGGGACCUUGAGAUAUAAUGGCGGAACCCGAGGAAUGGAGACACACCUGUGGAAGAAACUGCAGCAGAAAACAGCCUGCCUAGGAACAACGAUGAGAUCCAAUAAGGAGCAGGAGACCCCAGACCCAAAAAAUUACUAUUGGUCCAAACUACUGCGUGAGGGGUGGAGAGCUUAGAUUGGAAGGUAUAAUUGUCCAGGGAUUUCUUUGUUCAGGGUCCCUCUUCGGAGGUACUCAACUCGAGCUGUGUGAAGAGGACCCACCUACCACCAGACGGGAGCCCCCCCCCACCGCCGAGACUCCCAAAGAAAGAGGACCAACGGGACAAUGCUGGAUCCACGGGUGGUGAUGCCUUUUUUCUCUCUCUCUCUCUCCCUCUCUCCUCUCUUUUUCCCUCUGCUUUGUUGAAUCUGUCGUGUGGCACGGGACUUGUCUAGCUAGCUGAUCCUAUUUGACCACAUGCCUUAUCUUUGUGUUAAUAAAUCUUAAAACUGG